UCUUGACUUGCCUUAUCUGUCUCAUAGGUAGAUGUGGCAUCUUCUCUGGAAGUACUCUUCCUCUAUCCAGGGGUGGUAUCUUUAACUGGUGGAGAUGCACAAGGUAAUGUAUCAAUUUCACUUGAAGCUUACUUGUAGUUUCAGGCUUGGUCAAGCGCGAUACAAACCAUGUAGUAGGAGUCCCCCAAGUCGCCGAGCUAGG
rnacentral:lncRNA from 1 species